GCGGAUCGCGUUAAAUUAAAAUUGUUUAUCCACGGCGUGGAUGCGCGAUUCGCGGGGGUGCGCUCGGAGGAGGGAGAGGGGAUGCUAUGACCAGGACCAGGGGGGUAGUGCCGACAAACAUGAGUCUCGCCGUAACGAUGAUCGUCACCUGGCUGGCCACGGCGACGCCGCGUUCCUGCGUCGCGCUCGACGACGCGGCCGAUUACUACUCGCUCGCGGACAACGACGGCGACUUCGAGUACACGAACGUCACGAAUUGCACGAACGACUACUGCAUCCCGGACGAGGACUACAUCGGGCUGAUGGUGCAGCACAUAUUCCCCGAGUUCUCCGACUGGGUGCUGAUCGCCAUGCACAGCGUCGUCUUCGUCGUCGGCCUGAUCGGCAACGCGCUCGUCUGCAUGGCCGUCUAUCGCAAUCACUCGAUGCGCACCGUCACCAAUUACUUCAUCGUCAAUCUGGCGGUGGCCGAUCUCCUCGUCCUGCUGAUCUGCCUGCCGCCGUCGGUCCUCUGGGACGUCACGGAGACCUGGUUCCUCGGACUGAAGCUCUGCAAGGCCGUGCCGUAUCUCCAGACGGUGUCGGUGAGUAUAAGCGUGUUGACGCUGACUUUUAUAUCGAUCGACCGAUGGUACGCCAUAUGCUUCCCAUUGAGAUUCAAGUCCACGACAGCCCGAGCGAAAACCGCCAUCAUAAUCAUCUGGCUGGUUUCGCUGCUUUUUGACAUUCCAGAGUUACUGGUGUUGCAUACAGUGCCAUCGAAUAGUCGAGUGCAGACUAUAUUAUUCACGCAGUGCAUCUGGUCAUGGAGUCAAGAAAGUCAAACCACCUUCACGAUUGUCAAGUUGAUCUUUUUAUAUACAAUGCCGUUGCUUCUCAUGAGCGUGGCAUACUGGCAGAUUGUGCGCGUUCUUUGGAGAAGCGACAUUCCAGGACAUAAUUUGUCCACUAGGAUCUGUCAUUCAACUGAGAUUCCACUAUCUGGAGGUGGAAAUCCAGAGGGUCAAUUAAGAUCUCGACGAAAAGCGGCGAAGAUGUUAGUCGCGGUAGUUAUAACAUUUGCGAUAUGUUUCUUUCCGGUGCAUUUGCUCUCUAUCUUAAGAUGUACCAUGACUUUACCGUCGAAUCAAUGGACGAUCGCCAUUAGCCUAAUUGCCCAUUGGCUUUGCUACUUCAACAGCGCGGUGAAUCCUGUCAUCUAUAAUUUUAUGAGCGGUAAGUUCCGGCGAGAGUUCCGCCGUAGUUUUCGGGAGUGCGGCACCCCGAGCAAGCAGCGGGCGAACACGCUGCCGGCGGGCCGUCGGCAUCCGCCGCCGCCGCCGCCGCCGCCGCCGUGCAGCGACGAGUAUACGAGGGGAUGCCAUAGCACAAGCUUGCGAAAUCGGCCGUUUUGACGGCGCGCGGCGAAACGAGUACCGUGGAAACCGACGAAAGUAUCCCUUGACGUAUCACCUGACGUGCGAGCGUGCGUCGUGGCCGAGACGACGUUUAACGGCGGGACGAGAACGGCGCUCGGAUAACGACGCUUGCGACGCUUAGACCGAUUGCGCUUAAAGCGAGCUAUAAAGGGAAAGUUUCGCAAGGAGUUCAAGCGUACCUUCCGAUGUUCCCACAACGGCGGAAC
rnacentral:misc_RNA from 1 species